UACAGAGGGUGCGAGCGUUAAUCGGAAUUACUGGGCGUAAAGGGUGCGUAGGUGGUUUGGUAAGUUAGGUGUGAAAGUCCUGGGCUUAACCUGGGGAUUGCGCCUGAUACUGCCAGACUUGAGUACUGUAGAGGAAAGUGGAAUUUCCGGUGUAGCAGUGAAAUGCGUAGAUAUCGGAAGGAACACCAGUGGCGAAGGCGACUUUCUGGACAGAUACUGACACUGAGGCACGAAAGCAUGGGGAGCAAACAGG
rnacentral:rRNA from 1 species